GGCGCCCAACCCAAGUUCUCUCCACUCCCUGUUGCUGUGCCAUAGACCAGAUCACAUCUGUCUCUUACCCGAAGAUGCUCAAAUUGUCCACCGUAUGCAGGCCAAAACGCAAGUAUAAUACAGUACUCUUAUUUAGUUUAACAAUAUGGUAUAGUGGUUAGGGUUAAGGUUAGAUAACACUCCUAGGUGGUUAAGGUUAGGGUUAUGGUUAGAUAACACUCCUAGGUGGUUAAGGUUAGGGUUAUGGUUAGAUAACACUCCUAGGUGGUUAAGGUUAGGGUUAUGGUUAGAUAACACUCCUGAGUGGUUAAGGUUAGGGUUAAGGUUAGAUAACACUCCUAAGUGGUUAAGGAUGGGGGUUUAGUUUAGAUGACACUCCAGUGUAUUAAAGGUUAGGGUUAAGGUUGGAAAACACUACUGUGUGGUUAAGGAAAACUAUACUUCAUUUCAAUCUACAUCUUAAAAAGCUACACUUUGCAUACUUUUUGUUUUAACAUCAAACAUUUGAUCUCUUGGGUCUCAUGAAAGUAGCGUAUGUUUCUAAGAGACUAUUCUACCCCUUGGACAGUUUCAGGCCAGGUCCAUCCUGGAACUGUGGCCAUCUUUGAGGGUCAGUAGUGACACCCUCCCUUCUCACCACAAGGCUAGACAGGUUACAGGUUCCCUCAGGAACUUAGGCUUUCUCUGCUCCAUCUUCAAUCUAUAGCCAGACAGUUUUUGGAACACCCUCUCCAGAUGCUUUGAGUGGGUUCUGAAAUCAGGGAGGUACACAAUGAAACGAAGUGAAUCAUGUAUCCAGUCAGAGGCAUUUCCAAAGCAGUCUUCGUGGGCCAUACAAACACUUGCCCAGCAGUCCAGUAAAGCAUUUAUAGCAGCUCCUGUUGUUUGAUUAAAUUAAUUCCUUCCCUCGGAGGACUGCCUUCUGUGGGUUUCAACGUCACCAGUGUCAUUCUGCAACCAGCGUUCACCAAAACACUCAUCACUAGCCAGUAUACAGCCACUAACCUUACAAGACAGAGGGGCUCCUAAAACAAUGAACACUUUAGACUGACACUUUUAGACCGACUGCUUACGUUUACAGUUUUCUUUCUUUGAGCUUCACAUCCGGCAUCGUCCACGAUAUGGGUGUCCAUAAUUAGGGAAAGAAAAUAAAAUUGAAAAAGAAAUAAAAGUUACAAGGAAGUUGGUUUGAUGCAAACCUGUAGUGCAUCAAAAAAUGAAACACUAUUUCAGGAGAACACAAGAAUGUUUAUUAAGCUUCUAUUUCCAAAUACAACACAGCCUGGUGGAAAUGAAUAGGCACAAUACAAGCAGAUGAUUCCUCCUGCUGAGCUGUGUGUCUGUACUGUAUUACUGUACCAAAUAUAGGACUUCCAGCCCCUCAUCUGCCCCUCCCAACUGAGGAGAACUUGUUUCAAAUGCUUUGGGUCACAAUUACCCACUUUCUGUGGGCGUGUAUCACAAUGAUUCAGGCUGUCUCGGCUGUCAAUAUAUUUCCCCCCCGGUCAGUAAAACAAAGCUAUCAGGCGUCUUCACAGAACAUUCCAAAUAUGGCAAACUUGGCAGCAAGGAGUGAGUCAUCACACACACACACACACACACACACACCUAAGCAAACACAUCCAGACCAUAUUAUCUAGCAGCCACGCCCAUCCCAGCAGAAUCAGAUCUCCAUCUUGUAGCCACUACACCAGAUGUCCUCUCUUUAAAGACAAGGGUGGCAGGGUAAGGCCAGUGGUUUGAGUAUCUGAUUCAAUCCCAGAGUCCCCGAUAAUGUAGUGAAUUUUACCCUCCUAUUGUAUUCAUGUUAAAGUUGAACUUUAAAUUUUAAGUUUAGAUGUGUGAAACAUACCUUUAAUGUUUUCUGAUUUAAAAAAAAGGCCUUGUUAAAUCCUCAUCAAUGGCCUACAGAAUACAAUAAAACACAUUUAGAUUUUUUUUUAACUGCCUAAGGAACAGUUACAUCCUUGGGGUUACGGGUCAAAUUUGACCCGGUAGUAAUUAUGGGGUUUUAAUUCAGAGAAAUACAUAAAUACAUUUUGCCAAACCAUGAAUAACAACAAUUACAACAAAACAAAAA
ensembl:lncRNA